UGAGGGACUAUGCAUAGCUCAGUAGUAGAGCAGCUGCUUUGCAUACAGAAGGUUCCAGGUUCAACCCCCAGCAUCUCUUAA